GAUGAACGCUGGCGGCGUGCCUAAUACAUGCAAGUCGAGCGAACGGACGAGAAGCUUGCUUCUCUGAUGUUAGCGGCGGACGGGUGAGUAACACGUGGAUAACCUACCUAAGACUGGGAUAACUUCGGGAAACCGGAGCUAAUACAGGAUGAUAUUUUGAACCGCAUGGUUCCAAAGUGAAAGACGGUCUUGCUGUCACUUAUAGAUGGAUCCGCGCUGCAUUAGCUAGUUGGUAAGGUAACGGCUUACCAAGGCAACGAUGCAUAGCCGACCUGAGAGGGUGAUCGGCCACACUGGAACUGAAACACGGUCCAGACUCCUACGGGAGGCAGAAGUAGGGAAUCUUCCGCAAUGGGCGAAAGCCUGACGGAGCAACGCCGCGUGAGUGAUGAAGGUCUUCGGAUCGUAAAACUCUGUUAUUAGGGAAGAACAUAUGUGUAAGUAACUGUGCACAUCUUGACGGUACCUAAUCAGAAAGCCACGGCUAACUACGUG
rnacentral:rRNA from 1 species